rnacentral:rRNA from 1 species
AUUGAACGCUGGCGGCAGGCCUAACACAUGCAAGUCGAACGAGUGGCGGACGGGUGAGUAAUGUCUGGGAAACUGCCUGCUGGAGGGGGAUAACUACUGGAAACGGUGGCUAAUCCCGCAUACCAUCAGAUGUGCCCAGAUGGGAUUAGCUAGUAGGUGGGGUAAAGGCUCACCAAGGGGACGAUCCCUAGCUGGUCUGAGAGGAUGACCAGCCACACUGGAACUGAGACACGGUCCAGACUCCUACGGGAGGCAGCAGUGGGGAAUAUUGCACAAUGGGCGCAAGCCUGAUGCAGCCAUGCCGCGUGUGUGAAGAAGGCCUUCGGGUUGUAAAGCACUUUCAGCGGGGAGGCGUUACCCGCAGAAGAAGCACCGGCUAACUCCGUGCCAGCAGCCGCGGUAAUAC